AAGAUCAUACUUCACAGGAUCAUUUCUGUAGUAUAUCUUCAAAACUGCUUAGCGUAAAGCUGAAACGGUGCAACCACGAUGAGGAGGCGGAACCCUUUUCCUUGAGCGUGAGGACAACUUAUAGUCUUGGAUUUUAUUCAAGAUUAUAGUUACUGAUGAUCGUUACAGAGUAAGAGGAGUUAUGGGAAGAUGGGUUUUCUGAGUUGU
rnacentral:snoRNA from 1 species